rnacentral:rRNA from 1 species
GUGAGGAACCUGCCUCAAAGAGGGGGACAACAGUUGGAAACGACUGCUAAUACCGCAUAAGCCCACAGCUCGGCAUCGAGCAGAGGGAAAAGGAGUGAUCCGCUUUGAGAUGGCCUCGCGUCCGAUUAGCUAGUUGGUGAGGUAACGGCCCACCAAGGCGACGAUCGGUAGCCGGACUGAGAGGUUGAACGGCCACAUUGGGACUGAGACACGGCCCAGACUCCUACGGGAGGCAGCAGUGGGGAAUAUUGCACAAUGGGGGAAACCCUGAUGCAGCGACGCCGCGUGGAGGAAGAAGGUCUUCGGAUUGUAAACUCCUGUUGUUGAGGAAGAUAAUGACGGUACUCAACAAGGAAGUGACGGCUAACUACGUGCCAGCAGCCGCGGUAAAACGUAGGUCACAAGCGUUGUCCGGAAUUACUGGGUGUAAAGGGAGCGCAGGCGGGAGAACAAGUUGGAAGUGAAAUCCAUGGGCUCAACCCAUGAACUGCUUUCAAAACUGUUUUUCUUGAGUAGUGCAGAGGUAGGCGGAAUUCCCGGUGUAGCGGUGGAAUGCGUAGAUAU